rnacentral:rRNA from 1 species
AGCAGCCGCGGUAACACCGGCGGCCCGAGUGGUGAUCGUGAUUAUUGGGUCUAAAGGGUCCGUAGCCGGUUUGGUCAGUCCUCCGGGAAAUCUGAUAGCUCAACUAUUAGGCUUUCGGGGGAUACUGCCAGACUUGGAACCGGGAGAGGUAAGAGGUACUACAGGGGUAGGAGUGAAAUCUUGUAAUCCCUGUGGGACCACCUGUGGCGAAGGCGUCUUACCAGAACGGGUUCGACGGUGAGGGACGAAGCUGGGGGCACGAACCGGAUUAGAUACCCGGGUAGUCCCAGCCGUAACGAUGCUCGCUAGGUGUCAGGCAUGGCGCGACCGUGUCUGGUGCCGCAGGGAAGCCGUGAAGCGAGCCACCUGGGAAGUACGGCCGCAAGGCUGAAACUUAAAGGAAUUGGCGGGGGAGCACAACAACGGGUGGAGCCUGCGGUUUAAUUGGACUCAACGCCGGACAACUCACCGGGGGCGACAGCAAUAUGUAGGCCAAGCUGAAGACUUUGCCUGAAUCGCUGAGGGGAGGUGCAUGG